AAGAGGCAAGCAGUAUUGGCGUGCGACUAGCUUGAAAUUAGGAGGAGGGGGUUCGAGUCCCCCGUCUCUUG
rnacentral:tRNA from 1 species